GGCCGUGUUAGGCUUCGCUGGCGUAAAGUCCCCGGGAGCUUUGCCCCUCACGGAGAACGUUAGUUGACCCUGAUGGGGACCCGUAGGGUAAAGGUUUUGUUUUUGUUUUUUUUUACGGAAAAGGUUGUGGUUAGGCCCCUUGGAAAGUUGCGACAAAACUCGAGUUAGACAAGGAAGGUCGGAACUAAGUGGCCACAGCAACAAUGCACCAGCAAGCAGGGAGCGUGAUAGGAAGAGCUAAAGAGGAAUCGGGAAACCCUGGGGUCUCACCGCCGUCGCCCAGGCCGGAUGGAGUGCAGUGGCGCGAUCACGGCUCACUGCAGCCUCGACUUCCCAGGCUCAGAGAUGGGUUUCACCAUGUUUCCCAGCCUUGUCUCAAACUCCUGACCUCAAGUGAUCCGCCGUCUUGGGUCUUCGAAAGUGCUGGGACAGCAGGAGUGAGCCACCGCAUCUGGCCCGGAAAGUGUUUUGGAGCGUAGAAAAAUGCAAAUUAUAGGGCUGCCUUCAAGGAUCCCGAAGGACCCACAGAUUUGCCGCAUCAGGCUCCUAUGCACGCC
rnacentral:lncRNA from 1 species